UCUCCUGCGGCGGAAGCACGGUGCGCUGGUUACGAGCGCUGAACAAGCACGGCUCUUUAUUGUCACGUAAGCGGCGAGGAGACGCUGGGGAAACCGUAUCUGAUGGGAAAACGCGAAUCAACGUAACACCUGUAUCUAUCCUUAGCAACGGUACCUGCUGGCCAAUGAGAUGAGCCGAAAUAUUCUGUCAGCUCAUUGGUCACAGAGCAGAUAUGGCUGGGACGGUUGGCAACUCUAGUCGCCGCUGAUCUGCUGGAAACAGGCGGCAGACUAAACCAGCAUAACUGCACUUGGAGAGACAGUCGUUGUUCCACUGAGAGAAUAGUCCCAAACAGCCUUCAUCUUGGAGAAGUAGUGGUAAUACGUCACCACGUAGGUGAUGACAGACUUCUCAUCAGGAUGAUCCACACUUAUAUCUGCAACAGAGACAGACCAACAUCAGAUCACCAAGGUUCUAUGAAUCAGAACGUUACACAUGUUGGAAAGGAAAGUGCUGAAGAGGGCAUCAUCCUGAGUCCACCUGCACCAGUAUGAAACAAACAAAGAUCUUACUUGGAAACGCAGGAUGAUGGUCCAGAUCAGGCCCAGUGUGAGUCGGUGGUUCCCAUCCACAAUGUCAUGGGAUCCC